CAAGACUGUCAGAACCCUCCGAUCAGAUUAACUUAAACACAUCGUACAGUCCAUAUUACAUCAAUAGUCCGUGAUGCAAAUCAACGAUUGAGAUCAAAUGUUCUGCCCAAGCAGACGUCUGCUCCAUCCCCAGAUCCCCGCUCGCCCCUACUGCAACACACAGGCCGAUUCCGCGCCGCUGGUUCUCCACCUCCCCUCCCUCUCCUCACUACAGGACGCCGCCGGGCGAAGCUCGGCUCGCGUCGGCGGCGCCGGGGUCACUCUCCUGCCUCGAGCAGCGUCGGCGGCGCGGGAUGCAGCGGGCUCGGCCUGUGUCACCGACGCGAGUGUCCCUCUCGAGCGGCGGCGGUGGCGGAUUCAGCGGACGCGGGCCGUGGCGGCAGCGGCGGCGGUGGACGCAGCGGGCUCGGCCUGCGUCGGCGGCGGCGGGUCCAUCUCCUUCCUCGAAUAGCAGCGGGCUCGCGCCCCACGAUUUAUUCGACUCCGGCGAUUUGUCAACUUCUGCUUUAGCGGCGCCGCAACGGAGCACUCUGUCGGGCCCCUUGGCGGGAUCGGCGUCCGGAUCAUCUCGCGCCUCCGCAAGGGGGAUGGGACUGCUCGGGCUCAUCUGCAAGAGCCCCUCGCCGCCAUGCCGCCUGCUGCCGCUGACACCGUCAACGGCAGCGGACGAGCAGGAGAGAUCCUGUCGAUCUGAUGGCAAAAGGGCGAGAUAACCGGCUCCUGUAUGUUUUGGAAGGUUACACCAAGUCUCUCCUUUGUUUGAUUUUGGUUCCAGCUUUGAUCGGGAGCACCAACCGCGAGCUGGGAGAAAGCCCAAGUGAGUAGCACUUCCACAGCAGAUUGGUUACCAAUUUAAUUGUUCUGAUUUUUCUUCAUGUGAGGUGAUUUCUGGCUUUUGUUUCUACUAUCACGCGCAUAUAAGAGAACUCGAGGAAGAAGUGAAGCUCCUCAUUUUCUGUGAAGAAGUACCUUGAGACUGUCCGUGAGGAAGACACGCUGAAUAUCUUGCUUGAUUUUGUUCCCCGCCCACUGCACGCCGCUGUCGAGAACACCUCUGCUACCUCCUCCCAAUCUCCGCCACAAGAUUCUCCGUCCAGAUCCUGGGCGAGGAAUAAAAAAAUUAGUUCUUGAAGCUUCUCCAUCAUGCCGGACGGACAACUGUAUCCGGCACCGUCGCCAUCGCUUAUGGAGUUCCACACCAUUGCCCAGUUGUACGAGAGCAUGUUCAAUCUUCUCCAUUCAAGACUAUGCAAGUGGUGAACUCUGCCAAACAAGAAGAUAUGAGGAUAUGGCAUAUAUGCCCCAUAAGGUAGCUAUAUGGUAAUUCAUGUAUUGUAGUUUGGAUUACGGUCACACUUUGAAGGGUAAGUAGAUGAUGCUCAAUGACAUAACCUGCACUGAUCUUCACAGUCAUAUCAUCUGAUAGAAGUUUAUUGAAUUUCAUUUAAAUUUUGUUGUAUGUUAUCCAUGAUGUAAGUGGAGAUAGGAAGUUAAACAAAAUUAAAAAUUGCAGCACAAAGGGGAUGUCCACCAAUGAUUUGACAUGAUAAGAUGUUAGUGAAGCAUGGCAAACUAUGACAUUAGCAAAACUUAUAUUUACAUAUAUUCAUAUAUAUGAAUUUUGGAAAUGUGCAUUGCACGUAUAUCGUACGUCUCUUCACUAUUCAAAAUACUUGUACCCACUAUGAUUCCAUUUUUUAUUAUUUACCUUGAAGGAGUAUUAUAUUAAUGUUAUUUGUUGUCCACCUUGAUCCUUCACUGCUAUUUUUCCUACUAAGCAACUUUGCAUGGAGUUAAGAUCAUUUCGUAAGAUUCUGAUAUGUUUUUCAAAUUCGCUUCCUUUAUGCAUGAACCUAUCAUCAAGAUUUAGACCUCUUAUAUGGUGCAUGUAUGCUGCUGUAAGAAGAAAUGUAAUAUUGUCCUCAUCAAUUUCUUUCUUAGCAUGCACAAUGUGUUACAACAUCAAUUUCAUUGGUUUGGAGAAGGUGAUAAACAUGCAACCGUUCUUACUUGAUGAUAUGAAUGCUUCAUUGGAGCAAUAUUGGCCUUUGUUUGCACAUUAGUGUUCCAUUAUGUAGUAAAAGAUGUGGUCUGGUAGCCUUUCUUCAUUGUUACAGUUAUUGUCAAAUGGUGGAAUAUUGGUGCCUGGUAGCUCUGGUUCAUGUAAGCAUGACGAAACAUCGUAAAAUCAUAUUUCUUGUUGUAUCAUGAGUCAUAUGAGAAAGAAGGUUAGGCGAUUUAUGUUUUUAGUUUUUCUAUUGCUCGUGUGUUAAAGAUCUAGGCAUACAUUUCAGAUAUAAAUUUGGGCAUAAAUUGUCACAAAUAGAUGGGUGGCGUGGGUCAAGGUUCAGAAACCCAGGGCAUCAUGUUUCUUUCGAGCCAUAUGAGGAGAACUACAUCCAUGGUAGUGGCUACAAUAUAAUCAGAGAGCCAUGUACAUGUUGAUUGUUAUGAAAUCAUGGGAUGAAAUCUUGAUCUCCGGUGUCCAGAAAUCUAUUUUCUCAGAGAAAAAAUCGAUGCGAGUUUAUAUUGCUGAUGUUUCGUCACGCACCUUAAUUUCUUCUUCGGAUUAUGAAAUAUUUAGGUUAACAAGAUGCCAUGUAAGUUGGGUUGAGAUCUGCUAUACAGUGGCUUUCUUUUGUUCAAAUAUUUCAUUUUUUUUCAUUUUCAUGCUGUCGAAGUAUUUGUACUUGUGAUUUCCUGAAGUUUUGUGAAAUAUUGAAGGAUAUCUUGGAACGACAAAGUUCCCAGUCUUCAUGCUAGGUGAUAGGACACUGGCUGCUGAAGUUGCUCAUUGCCUCGCAUAAAAGAAUGGAAUCUCCUUAUUUUUUGCUAUGUUUUGCACAUGUUGAUUAUGAUGGCAUUGUUUUGAACAUUCUAUCCCAUGUUGAUAAAAAGUAGAUGCUUUGGUA